rnacentral:rRNA from 1 species
UAAUACGUAGGGAGCAAGCGUUGUUCGGAAUUAUUGGGCGUAAAGAGCGCGUAGGCGGUUUGGUAAGUCUGAUGUGAAAUCCCGGAGCUUAACUCCGGAACUGCAUUGGAAACUGCCAGGCUUGAGUGCGGGAGAGGUGAGUGGAAUUCCCAGUGUAGAGGUGAAAUUCGUAGAUAUUGGGAGGAACACCGGUGGCGAAGGCGGCUCACUGGACCGCAACUGACGCUGAGGCGCGAAAGCUCGGGGAGCAAACGGGAUUAGAUACCCCGGUAGUCCGAGCCGUAAACGAUGGGCACUAGGUGUAGGAGGUAUCGACCCCUCCUGUGCCGCAGCUAACGCAUUAAGUGCCCCGCCUGGGGAGUACGGUCGCAAGACUAAAACUUAAAUGAAUUGACGG